GACGAACGCUGGCGGCGUGCUUAACACAUGCAAGUCGAACGGAAAGGCCCUGCUUUUGUGGGGUGCUCGAGUGGCGAACGGGUGAGUAACACGUGAGUAACCUGCCCUUGACUUUGGGAUAACUUCAGGAAACUGGGGCUAAUACCGGAUAGGAGCUCCUGCUGCAUGGUGGGGGUUGGAAAGUUUCGGCGGUUGGGGAUGGACUCGCGGCUUAUCAGCUUGUUGGUGGGGUAGUGGCUUACCAAGGCUUUGACGGGUAGCCGGCCCGAGAGGGUGACCGGCCACAUUGGGACUGAGAUACGGCCCAGACUCCUACGGGAGGCAGCAGUGGGGAAUAUUGCACAAUGGGCGGAAGCCUGAUGCAGCAACGCCGCGUGCGGGAUGACGGCCUUCGGGUUGCAAACCGCUUUCGCCUGUGACGAAGCGUGAGUGACGGUAAUGGGUAAAGAAGCACCGGCUAACUACGUG
rnacentral:rRNA from 1 species